ACAGCAGUCGCCGCGGUAAUACGUAGGUGGCAAGCGUUGUCCGGAAUUAUUGGGCGUAAAGGGCUCGCAGGCGGUUUCUUAAGUCUGAUGUGAAAGCCCCCGGCUCAACCGGGGAGGGUCAUUGGAAACUGGGAAACUUGAGUGCAGAAGAGGAGAGUGGGAUUCCACGUGUAGCGGUGAAAUGCGUAGAGAUGUGGAGGAACACCAGUGGCGAAGGCGACUCUCUGGUCUGUAACUGACGCUGAGGAGCGAAAGCGUGGGGAGCGAACAGGAUUAGAUACCCCCGUAGUCCCUGUCUCUUAUAC
rnacentral:rRNA from 1 species